AGAAAUAUAGACCGUUUCACGAUUUUGCGUGUCAUCCUUGCGCAAGGGCCGUGCUAAUCUCCGUAUCGUUCCAGUUUUAGUAAAUGUACCGCCGAAACGUUGUGC
rnacentral:snRNA from 1 species